rnacentral:lncRNA from 1 species
GGCAAGAGGGAAGCUCGAGAACAGGUUUUGCUGAGGAUUCCCCCCAAGAAAAGUGCUCCCCGGGAGGCCGUUCCUGGCACCAAGACUGGCGGAGCCACCACACCCGUUAAAGGGAUCCACCUGGACAGCGAUCAGGCGUGAGCCCCCCCGAGGGGAAGUUGAAGUGGAAGCAGACGAUUCACUGAUUCUAGGUAAAUCAGAGGAACAAGCAACAUGAACAGAAAAAAUGUAGAAAAUGCAAUUAUGCUGAAGUACAAUUGUUGUUUCAGAAGUCCAGCAUCUGGUGUACUUAACAAUAGAGAAUAUAUUAAAUUUUUCC